GACGAACGCUGGCGGCGUGCUUAACACAUGCCAGUCGAACGGAAAGGCCCUGCUUUUGUGGGAUGCUCGAGUGGCGAACGGGUGAGUAACACGUGAGUAACCUGCCCUUGACUUUGGGAUAACUUCAGGAAACUGGGGCUAAUACCGGAUAGGAGCUCCUGCUGCAUGGUGGGGGUUGGAAAGUUUCGGCGGUUGGGGAUGGACUCGCGGCUUAUCAGCUUGUUGGUGGGGUAGUGGCUUACCAAGGCUUUGACGGGUAGCCGGCCUGAGAGGGUGACCGGCCACAUUGGGACUGAGAUACGGCCCAGACUCCUACGGGAGGCAGCAGUGGGGAAUAUUGCACAAUGGGCGGAAGCCUGAUGCAGCAACGCCGCGUGCGGGAUGACGGCCUUCGGGUUGUAAACCGCUUUCGCCUGUGACGAAGCGUGAGUGACGGUAAUGGGUAAAGAAGCACCGGCUAACUACGUG
rnacentral:rRNA from 1 species